AUUGAGUAUGAUCUUAGUAGUAUUAGCCACAACUCAGUUUUUGAAGUUUGAGUUUUACUUGGUACAACCUCUCUCGCUCCACCGAAUGAUACAUUUAAGUUAGAGAUUGAAGGUUAGGAGCUAGAUAUUACGAUAUCAGAGAUAAAUCCAUCCCUUUGUCCAUGUUUAUCAUCUACUAAGCAUUCCAAGGAUACAACUUUAAACUCAGAAUCUGAAGAUGAAGAUACACAAACUGUAAACGAUGACAAGGCUAUCCCCUCUGACCAUCCUCAUCCCUGGAAAGCUGAUGUUCAUGACGUUGAAAUCCCAAUGCUGCAACAAACAUGCCUGUACAUCCACUGUCCUUGUUUCCUGAAAUUAUAGGUUUUGAAAAGCAUAAAAAUACUCUUGAUUGUACGACCUUGCUGUUGGCUACUUUAGCCUCGGAAGAAACAGAAGGUUUUAGUGUUUCAAGCCAACUCAUGCAUGGGCCGAAGUAAAACUACAAGCCAUGAUGUAAUGGUCUUGGUUGUUUAAUUAUGAGAAAGAUACUAGAAGUUUUAUCAUAGCUUUUCUUGAUGCUGAGCUUAUAGGUAAAAGUUGGGAAAUUUGAAAUAACAACUAAAGAUAUAUAUUUAAAGAAACAAAAUUAAAAGAACAAUGCAAAUUUGAUACACCAUAACUAAGUUUCUGGGCAGCUUCAAGGUAGCCCGAGCCUCCUAGAUGAAUGAGAUUUGCUUCAAAGUAAUUUCCUGCCUCUUUGCAGCCCUUCCUCCCCCUUUUAUUGUUAUUCUUGGUUAGUUGAGAAUUUAGAGUAACUGAUAUGCUUUGCCAACUGUAUUAUCCAUCUGAUUUGUAUUUGGACUCUAUCUCCUAUCUUAAACCAGUGUUGUUUGCCUUUAAACUCAAUCCCCUUGCCAUCUGUCAGCCAUAGGAGCUUCAUUAUCUCAAUCUUCCACGUUAGUAAUUCUUGUCCAAUCUUGACCAUACAUGUGCUCACCUUAUCCCUUUGUUGUAGGUAAGUCUUCUCUAGCACGCCUCCCUCUUGUCUCCCCGGCCUCAGUGAGAAUUGGAUCGUGAUGUGCUGACGAACUGUUACAACUCUCUCCCCCUUAAAAAACCUUGCCCUCAAGGUGAGCGUAAGAACCUUUUAACCAUUCUUCUUCGACCCAUAUGGCGUCUUUUUUAGGUUGUUCUUCCCAUCUUAACAACACCUCUUCCCUUGUCUUCCUCCUUAAGACUUGACUUCUUCAGUCAAGUAUUUCUACGGGUUCUAGCUGUGAUUUCAGCUUGGGUUCAAGAAUGGGUAGCUUGGGUUCAAGAAUGGUUCCUUUUCCAACCCAUUUCUUCAGCAGUGAGACAUGGAAUGUGCUGUGGAUUUGAGCUUUCUUGGGAAGAUCUAGCUGGUAAGCCAAUUCUCCUACCCUUUUUAAGACUUUGAAUGACCCGAAAUAUUUAUAUUCUAAUUUCCCAUUUUUGUUUCUUGGCAUGUUGGACUGUUUGAAUGGCUGGAGCCGGAGGUGCCACAGGAAACAGAGGAGAGGCUUGGAGUGGAGCAGCAAUGGACUAGGAAUGAGCAGAGACGACAAAAAAGACAAGUGUAUGGGUAUGUGAAGGAGGAGAUGGAGAAGCUGGGAUGGUUGGGAUAAUUACAUUUUCUGGAGUUAUUAUAGGCACAGGACAAGUGGAAGGCUGGCAAGGUGAUGGUGAUGUUAGUGUGUUUGAUUGUGUAGACAAUAAAUCUGGAUAUAGAACCUGUUGUUCAUCAAAUAUAACAUGCCUAGAGAUAAACAAUCUCAUUAUAUGUACAUGAUAACACAAAUAGCCUUUAUAAUUUGUGGCAUAUCCAUGAAACACAUAUUUUGUAGUUUUAGCCUGCAAUUUGGUGCUAUUAUAAGGUUUGAGGAGAGGAAAACAAGCACAUCCAAAAAUUCAAAGAUGAGUAAGACUUGGAGAUGAGCCGAAUAACAUCUCAAAAGGGGAGCUAUGAUGAAGAACAGCAGUAGGCAUACGAUUGAUUAGAUAUGUAGUUGUUUGACAAGCAUAGGACAAAAACUGAGAUGGUAAUUUGGCUAUUUGUAACAAGGUGAUAGUGGUUUCAAUGAUAUGUUUAUAUUUCCUCUA